GCUUUAUUAAACCUACGAGAGAGCGGCUUAUAGCUCAGUUAUACGAUAGAUCUGUGUGGGAUUAGUAACCGGAAGAUUCCAGAUUCGAAUUCGGCUUGAACACAGUCAGAUUUUUACGCUUUUCUUCCGUUGAAUCGAUCACACUACAAUGAUUGAAGUACUAUUGUUUAUUAUUUUUCUUAUAUCGAUGUAUCAUUUUUAUUUACACUAUGGCAAAACAGGAAGAUUGAUUAAUUUAAUUUCCGGACCACCAACCAUAUCAAUAUUAGGAAAUUCCCUUUUGUUCAACGUUCCAUUAGAUAAACUAUGGCAAGUACUAUGUAAAUUAUAGAAUCAGUAUUAUCCAAUUGUAAGAUUAUGGAUAUGUCAUAUGCCAUGGAUAAUAAUCUGUCAUCCAGAUGACUAAAAGUGUGAUAUACAAAUAUAAUUUAUUUUUGAUCUUU